rnacentral:lncRNA from 1 species
CUGUGCUCCAGCGCCUGGGAAGGGGAGUCUCCGGAGCGAGGGGGAGAAGGACAGCUGGAUGACUCAGUGAGCUGAGAGCCAGACCUGGAGACAGGAGGUCCUGGGUUUCAGAUACUUCCCAGCUGUGUGACCCUGGGCAAGUCACUUAACCCCCACUGCUUGGCCCUUAAUCAGCCUUCUGCCUUGGAACCAAUAUGUAGUAUUGAUUCUGAGAUGGAAGGUUUUUCU